rnacentral:rRNA from 1 species
UCGAGGAUCUUCGGCAAUGGGCGCAAGCCUGACCGAGCGACGCCGCGUGCGCGAUGAAGGCCUUCGGGUUGUAAAGCGCUGUCGGGGGGGAGGAAAGCCGGGAAACCGGCCUGACCGACCCCCGGAGGAAGCACGGGCUAAGUUCGUGCCAGCAGCCGCGGUAAGACGAACCGUGCGAACGUUGUUCGGAAUCACUGGGCUUAAAGGGCGCGUAGGCGGGCACCCAAGUCGGGGGUGAAAUCUUUCGGCUCAACCGGAAAAGGGCCCCCGAUACUGGAUGCCUCGAGGGGGGUAGGGGCGUGCGGAACUUCCGGUGGAGCGGUGAAAUGCGUAGAGAUCGGAAGGAACGCCGGUGGCGAAAGCGGCGCGCUGGACCCCUCCUGACGCUGAGGCGCGAAAGCCAGGGGAGCGAACGG